UACGUAGGGUGCGAGCGUUGUCCGGAAUUAUUGGGCGUAAAGGGCUCGUAGGCGGUUUGUCGCGUCGGGAGUGAAAACCAGGUGCUUAACACCGUGGCUUGGCUUUCGAUACGGGCAGACUAGAGGUAUGCAGGGGAGAACGGAAUUCCUGGUGUAGCGGUGAAAUGCGCAGAUAUCAGGAGGAACACCGGUGGCGAAGGCGGUUCUCUGGGCAUGACCUGACGCUGAGGAGCGAAAGUGUGGGGAGCGAACAGG
rnacentral:rRNA from 1 species